UAAGAACAUAGGCCAAAUGAUUGGUUGAACUAACACAUAAGGAGGUGCUUUGGGCAGAGCAAAAUGUUAUUGGAGACCGAGACGGAAGAGGAAGCCAGACAUCCCACUCCCUCAUUUCUUUCUGGUUCAAUGGAAGUCCGUGAACUAAGCAGACCAGACGCAGCUGCUAUCACAUUGGUGUCUUUGGGAGAGUCCCCCACGCCCGAUUAAGCAGAACGGAACUGACCAUUAUUUUCAAUGGGAAACGGCCUGAGUGAAUUAUCUUGAUUUAUUCACCAUCUUUGUUAGAAAUACAUGAACCACUGGUGUUCUGUAUUGCACAUAGAGAAUUAUAGCAGCCUCAAGAUGGAUAAAACCCAUUUGUGCAUGGAUAUUGCCAUUGAAAGCUUCCACCAUUUUGAAGUAGUCAACUGGGUGGGAGUUCCUAUGGGUUAAGGAAGGGUCACAUGAUUCCAUCCAGGUCAUCAGGAUCAGCCAAUGAAUUAUAGUCAGCCCAUGAGUAAUAGUCAACUGGGUGGGACUUCCUAUUGGUUAAGGAAGGAUCACAUGAUUCCAUCCAGGUCAUCAGGAUCAGCCAAUGAAUGAUACUCAUGAGGAAACAUUCCAUAACAGCAGGUGGCAGUAAAUCACCAACCUUGGCUUUACACCUGUUCCAACAACACCCUCCAGGGGGCAGUGUGCACCCUUUCAGUUUGUUUACCAACUCAUAGAAGUAGUAGAAGAAGAAAAUGGACUACUUCAAAAUGGAGAUUUAAAAAAAAAACAUUUAUUUAACCAGGCAAGUCAGUUAAGAACAAAUUCUUAUUUUCAAUGACAGCCUAGGAACAGUGGGUUAACUGCUUGUUCAGGGGCAGAAGGACAGAUUUUGUACCUUGUCAGCUCAGGGAUUUGAACUUGCAACCUUUCGGUUACUAGUCCAAUGCUCUAACCACUAGGCUACCCUGCCGCCCCAAGAGAUGGGCUCAUGGCGCUACGCAAAGCACUCCCAGACGCCCUAAUGGGACAGAUGCACAGAGGACUCCUCUAAUCUCUAUGACAGGGGUUCUUCAACUUUUUCAGCCUGGGACCCAAAUGAGAAAUUCUGUGUUGUCCUGGGACUCAAGCUUAUGAAAACAUCAGUACAUUUAAUUUCCCUUGUACCUAAAACGAAUACAAUAUAGACAAAUAACGAUGAAAUUAAAUACCCAUAUAAAUAGCUAUUCAUGCAAGAGUGUUUUUAAUGGG
ensembl:lncRNA